AACGUAGGGUGCAAGCGUUGUCCGGAAUUACUGGGUGUAAAGGGAGCGCAGGCGGGAAGACAAGUUGGAAGUGAAAACCAUGGGCUCAACCCAUGAAUUGCUUUCAAAACUGUUUUUCUUGAGUAGUGCAGAGGUAGAUGGAAUUCCCGGUGUAGCGGUGGAAUGCGUAGAUAUCGGGAGGAACACCAGUGGCGAAGGCGGUCUACUGGGCACCAACUGACGCUGAGGCUCGAAAGCAUGGGUAGCAAACA
rnacentral:rRNA from 1 species